GACCUCUUCGACUAAAUGGUUAGGUCACGACCCUUUCAAGGUCGUAAUGUUGGGUUCGAGUCCCACAGAGGCCA
rnacentral:tRNA from 1 species